CAGCACCUCAAGUGGUCAGGAUGAUUAUUGGGCCUAAAGCAUCCGUAGCCGGUUUAGUAAAUGCCUGUGUAAAUCGUGUAGCUUAACUAUACGACUUCUGGGUAGACUGCUAAACUUGAGACCGGGUGAGGCUAGAGGUACUCCUGGGGUAGAGGUGAAAUUCUGUAAUCCUAGGGGGACCACCAGUGGCGAAGGCGUCUAGCUAGAACGGGUCUGACGGUGAGGGACGAAGCCCUGGGGCACAAACCGGAUUAGAUACCCGAGUAGUCC
rnacentral:rRNA from 1 species